UAGCUACAGGCUUAACACAUGCAAGUCGAGGGGCAGCAUGGUCUUAGCUUGCUAAGGCCGAUGGCGACCGGCGCACGGGUGAGUAACACGUAUCCAACCUGCCGUCUACUCUUGGACAGCCUUCUGAAAGGAAGAUUAAUACAAGAUGGCAUCAUGAGUCCGCAUGUUCACAUGAUUAAAGGUAUUCCGGUAGACGAUGGGGAUGCGUUCCAUUAGAUAGUAGGCGGGGUAACGGCCCACCUAGUCUUCGAUGGAUAGGGGUUCUGAGAGGAAGGUCCCCCACAUUGGAACUGAGACACGGUCCAAACUCCUACGGGAGGCAGCAGUGAGGAAUAUUGGUCAAUGGGCGAGAGCCUGAACCAGCCAAGUAGCGUGAAGGAUGACUGCCCUAUGGGUUGUAAACUUCUUUUAUAAAGGAAUAAAGUCGGGUAUGGAUACCCGUUUGCAUGUACUUUAUGAAUAAGGAUCGGCUAACUCCGUGCCAGCAGCCGCGGUAAUACGGAGGAUCCGAGCGUUAUCCGGAUUUAUUGGGUUUAAAGGGAGCGUAGAUGGAUGUUUAAGUCAGUUGUGAAAGUUUGCGGCUCAACCGUAAAAUUGCAGUUGAUACUGGAUAUCUUGAGUGCAGUUGAGGCAGGCGGAAUUCGUGGUGUAGCGGUGAAAUGCUUAGAUAUCACGAAGAACUCCGAUUGCGAAGGCAGCCUGCUAAGCUGCAACUGACAUUGAGGCUCGAAAGUGUGGGUAUCAAACAGGAUUAGAUACCCUGGUAGCCCACACGGUAAACGAUGAAUACUCGCUGUUUGCGAUAUACAGCAAGCGGCCAAGCGAAAGCGUUAAGUAUUCCACCUGGGGAGUACGCCGGCAACGGUGAAACUCAAAGGAAUUGACGGGGGCCCGCACAAGCGGAGGAACAUGUGGUUUAAUUCGAUGAUACGCGAGGAACCUUACCCGGGCUUAAAUUGCAGAUGAAUUACGGUGAAAGCCGUAAGCCGCAAGGCAUCUGUGAAGGUGCUGCAUGGUUGUCGUCAGCUCGUGCCGUGAGGUGUCGGCUUAAGUGCCAUAACGAGCGCAACCCUUGUUGUCAGUUACUAACAGGUUCCGCUGAGGACUCUGACAAGACUGCCAUCGUAAGAUGUGAGGAAGGUGGGGAUGACGUCAAAUCAGCACGGCCCUUACGUCCGGGGCUACACACGUGUUACAAUGGGGGGUACAGAGGGCCGCUACCACGCGAGUGGAUGCCAAUCCCCAAAACCUCUCUCAGUUCGGACUGGAGUCUGCAACCCGACUCCACGAAGCUGGAUUCGCUAGUAAUCGCGCAUCAGCCACGGCGCGGUGAAUACGUUCCCGGGCCUUGUACACACCGCCCGUCAAGCCAUGGGAGCCGGGGGUACCUGAAGUGCGUAACCGCGAGGAGCGCCCUAGGGUAAAACUGGUGACUGGG
rnacentral:rRNA from 1 species